GUCUUUCUAGUACUAAGCAAUAUAAGUGACUUCCACUCACCUAGAUCCUGGUUUAAAUCCAGGGAAAGACA
rnacentral:tRNA from 1 species